GACCAUCUCUAAGAUAACCUUCUGAUUAAUGGUCAAGAAUCCUGCAAUCCUUGAGCAGCCUGCAGAGGUUAUCUGCUUCCAGCUACUGUUGACUCCUGGAACUUCUUUUCACAGGAGACCGAUUCUCAGACACCUGCCCAGCUCUGAAAUUCCUUGACCCUUGCCCUCGAUGCCGUUCUCCCAGGAAUCAAGGCUGAAGCUUUUGCGCAGACUGGGAUUCUGAUACCCCAGAGUCAAUUCCAGCCAGUUGAGCUUGGAGGCCCCUAUGAAAACCUUCCCUAUGCCAUUCCUCCUCUCCAUUCUUUUCUCCAUAAAUAGAGAAGAGGUCUUCUGGGGUUCAUGCAAUGAAACCUUCCAGGGCAAGGCUCAUGUGGGGAGAGGGAAUGCAAUGUGCCAAAGCAAGAAGCGCAGUAUUGUUCUGGCAAAAUAGUCUGCCAAAGGGCAGGGUGCAUCCUUUGCCUCCCCCUCUCCUGCUGGGCCCAGGGCAGGCCAUAUGUGGUGCUCGGGGAAAGGCCCUUCUGACUGGGUGAACCACAAGAAUGCAGUCCUGUGUGCUGCCUCCCGAACCAAUCAGGGCAGGGAUGAUUGGUUCCACACGGCUGUGUAGAUUGGUUCUACUGCUUAACUGCUCCUACUGGAACUAGAUGCUCCUGUCAGACUAGGGAUGAGAGUGAGGUUGGGGACUGGCUUGACAGUUUGGGAAACACAGGUUGGACAGUGUGUCCAGCUUUGCCUUGUUUGUACCUUGUUCCUGCCCUGUGUAUUAUGCUUCCUUUCCCCCACUGGCACUUGGUCCUGAGUCUUAGGGCGCAAGAGAGCAUACAGAUUGAACACAUUAGCUACAUCUCUUUUCUUAGACCCUUUGCUGAUAUUAGCUAAAGCUGCUUCGCUCUUUAUUUAGAAAGAGUUUUGACUCUGCUUUCAAAGUAACAUUUGCAAACCA